AAGGACCUGGUCCAGACAGAAGGGGACACUCACAGUAUGACCAGCCUUAGCCAAUCAAAAAACACACUCCCCCAGUCAAGUCUGAAUUUCAGAUAAACACCACUGGGGAUUUACACACAAAAAAUUAGUUGUUGUUUUUCUGAAAUUCACAUUUUGCCAGGCUUCCUGUUUUGUAUCUGGCAGCCCUUAACAUUCAGCACCUGGGGCAGAACUCCAACCUCCCCCAUGGCCACCAGGGACAAGCCAUUGGCCUGCCCAAGUAUGAUCAUCGUCAUCAUCAUUAUCAUCUCUGGGGUUUCACUUCUCUGGGCUGGCUUCUUCAGACAGAGAAAACAGACAUCAGACAGAAGGAAAAACACCUCCAAUGUGGUGAGCACCGGGACUGAACCUGGAUCAUAAACAGAUGGCAAAGCAGAUGUAUUAUCCAGGUAUGCCAGUCUUGUUCACUGAUGCUGCAAUAUCAUUUCAAGCCCUAGAGGAGGAUCCAUGUCUAAGAUGACUUACAUAUCUAGCUGGCAAGUUGGUGCUAGCUGAGAGCCUCCAGUCUUUCCACAGAGCUGCCUGAGUGUAACAUGGCAGCUGGCACUGACAGUGCAUGUCAUCCAAAAGACCAAGAUGGAAGUUGGCAUUUUUUUUUAGAUUUGGAAGUCACACAGUUUGCUUCCUCUGUAUUCUACUGGUCAUGGCAGCUACAAAGGCCUAUCUAAAUUCAAAAAGGAGGGAACAGACCCUUUCUCUCAAUGGAGGAGUAAGUACAACAUGGUAUUGUAAGAAAACAUGGUAAAAACAAAAUCUGCCAAGGUCAUUUCCAAUAUUUUGCUAUUAUCAAAAAAUGUUGGUAAGGACAUUUUAAAGAUUUUUGGUAUGUGGCAUCAAAUUCUCUCUACAAAGUUUUGCAAAUUUAUUUUGCCACCAGUGAUGAUUGAAAAAGUCCAUUUCCUGAGAUCAGAGAGGUGGCUUAGUAAUUGAGUAAAGGGCUGGCUGUUUUGUGUGAGGCCAUGGGUUCAAGCCCUGGCGUUGCUUAUACCAGAAUAAUGCUCUGGUUCUCUCUGUCCGAAAAAAAAAAAAAAAAGGUGGUGGGAAAAGCCAUGAUGCAUUUUUGCAUAGUAAAACAGAAAAAUACAUCAUGACUUUUCCAACAAGCCAAUAAGUAAAGAAAGAGUCCAAUCCUUCAUGUACCAGUACAAAAUUUAUUUAAAAAAAAAAAACUUUGCCGGGGGCUGGGAGAUUGAUCACCUUGCAGAGUACACACUAUGCCUGGCAUAAGGACCUGUGUUUGAUCUCCUGGCUCCAUACCCCAUGUCUCCAGCCAAUACAUGUAGUGCUGGGGAUCACACUCUGGACCCC